ACCCCACCAUGCGAUGAUCCAGGAGUAAAAACUAAAAAAGGAGACGUAUAAACAAGGUCACCGAGUGCAAAAGGUACGGUCAAAAAGAAAAGGAGAUGGUGGGGGAUAACAUUGAGACAGAUAAGAAAAAUCAUACCACUGGAAAAGAGGAGAUGAUGAUGCUAAAGAUUACGGCGUGAUUAGGACGUUGGCGCUUUUUUAAUCGUGUGUACGCGGGGAAAUCUCUCUAGCGGGUGAUGUGCUG
rnacentral:lncRNA from 1 species